rnacentral:misc_RNA from 1 species
UUUUCUUUUGAGGUGAAACGGUUGCGUAUGGCACACUCCUCGUGCAUGGCCGCACUGCUAAGUUAAGCCACUUUCCUAUCAUUUCCUGCGAAGCAGUGGAGAGACAGAACAAACCCUCUACUCACCGUCAGAUCAAAUUUUCAAAUUCAUCAAUCCAAUCAGAUCAUCAUUUCCGAUCACGAUGACCACCAGCAUCCACAUCACCGCCCUCGACGGUAUCGUUAAUGUCAACUCCCUCUUCACUCUCGCCGUCUUCGUCGGCCUUGCCUGGAACCCAACCGACCCCAACAACUCCCUUAUCACCGAUCCCACCUCCCCUUGCGCUGCCGGAUCCACCAUUGUCGAGAACAUCGUCUCCUAUCAUGUCUACUCGUUCAGUUCCUUUCUCUUCUCCAGCUUGAUCGCUCUUGCACUCAAGCAAGCUCUGCGGAUAGCCAAGACCCCCGAUUUUCACUCUCAUUCCCAUCACUUGCCCGAGUUCUUUGCGCGCGUGAACAAGAAUUCGCUUCGGGUGGGGAUGCUGGCUUCUGGUGUCGGUUCAGUUGUCGGGUGCGUGUUCUUGAUGCUGGCAUUGAUUAAUGUGGUUCAGUUCAAGCUCGGGACUUUGGCUUGUGGAAGUGGGCAUAGCUUAGCUGCGGUUGUGCCUCUUGUGAUUUUUGUCCCUAUUGCUCUCGUGAUUUAUGUGUGUAUUGUUUUGUAUGCUUUUGGUCGCUAAACUUUAUUUUUUAGAAUGAUUUGCGAGGCAUAUGAUUGAGGUACUUGUAGAUUAGAUCUAGGAGGUAAAUUAAUUAUCUGAGUUUGUAUGUCUUUUAUGAAGAUGAUAGUACUCUGCUGAAAUUGAAAAUGGAAGUGCUUUUACUUUCAUAUAACAAUUUGGAAAAGAUGCUUCUUUUUUCUAUGUUUCAGUUUGAAUUGGUGGGGUUUUAGUAGCAGAGAGAUGAAUGGGUUUGAGAUCUUUGAAUUUGCAAAAUUGCAAAUUGGGUUUGAGAUAAGAUAGGUAGAUGGGUUGAACCAACAGAGUCUAGAAUUGGGGAUUAUACUUUGCAAUAAAGAAGAGGUAGCAUGUGGUGCAAUGCGAUUGAUGCUGAUAAAUUGCAUUUGAAUGUGAUGUGAGUUAAUAAUAGAUUUAUGAUUAGGGAAUGAGUUUUAAAGGCGACAAUUGACAUGCUUUGUGAUAUUAAGCAAGAACCGAUUGUGAUUGAUGAAGGAUUUGAAGCCAGAGGUUGAAAAGGUAGAAAUUUUGUUAAAGUGAAUUUGUCUAUAUGUGUAUUGAUAGGAAUUAUGCGAUACCAUUUCUUCUGAACUGAGUUUGAAAUUGGGCAAGGGGUGGACUGUGGACCCUCUAAUAUCUACCAAUUUAAGUACAAGACUAUCCUCUUAUGAUUAGCUGCUUUGUUCAAAUCAGUACUUGGCCAUGCAAACAAAACCUUUCCUCUCUGCUCGUCUUGUUUUCUAUGCUGUGUCUUUUGAAUUGUUCUGCUUUCUGUUUGUUCUGGAAAACAACAGGAAAAUACAUAUUACAGGUUUAGGUAGUGAACUGGUUGAUUUUGUCUCUGGCUUUGUGUUGAGAAAUGAUGGAAAUUAUUUAAUUAUCCUUGUUUUUUCCUUGCUUUUCUUUCCUCAUUCUUUACAAGGACAAACGGAUUUUUUUUUUCGGCGUCUUCUGUGUUUAAUUUAGCUGACACUUGCAAGCACACUUUCCAAGAAAAUAUAAGAAAAACAGAACUAAACCCACCCUGAAUCGACUCUUUAGAUUCUAUAGGUGCUCUGCUCACCACUGUGUUCAUAUUUGAUUCCGUUUCUUAAUAGCUUGAAUGGUCCUGAUCUCUUUUAAAUUAAGAUGAGGCUGGACAAAACUAGCCAUAAUAUCUGCUCCCUUUCUGCUGCAAGUAGCGUUAAUUCCUUGUGCAUCUCCGAUGUUUGAUAUUUUCCUCAAUGAAUGGAUACCAUGAAGCCAGAGUAGCUGCAUGAGUGUAUAUUCGAUAAUUCUGUGGGCUUAUGCUCUUAUUUCUUUACGGAAUCAUAUUUGUGUACAUGUGUGCAUUUUGGCGAAGCUAGUUUUCAUCAUGUGGUGCUUAAUGCUGCGUGACAAGGAGAUGGGGAGUUAAUUGAGGCCUUCACGCGUUGGAGAAAAUGGAGGUGCUCUAGGUAGAUUGUAUGAAGUGGAUUGCCCCGCUGUCAACUUCUUUUGAAAAGCUCUACUGUGCUCUCUCAGGGAUUAAAAAAGAAAUGGGAUGGUUGCAAAGAUUAUAGUGAGCACUAAUAGGCUUGAAAUAGCCAGUUAAGUUUUGAAUCUAUCAUGGAAGGAGUAGGUGCUGCAAUAAAUAAAAAACUGUGUCUAGUGCUGCCUCCACUCUGGCUAAUGGAAUUCACGUGUAAGCAUCUUUCAUCUGCUUGUUUCAGUAUAAAAUCCUACGAGGAUUGGAAUUGUUUGUGCGUUGAAUUGAAUUUGAAGUGAGAAAUGGCAGCUCUCUUGAAGUCUUUUUGCUUUGUGAUGCUUUUUGUAAUUCUCGGAAUUGCUGGAUUUAAUCGAGUUGAUGGAGAUGGAGAAUGUGGGAAAUCCACCACUCCUGAUAGAGAAGCUUUCAAGCUGGCACCUUGUGCAUCAGCAGCACAGGAUGAAAAUGCUGCAGUUUCUUCCCAGUGCUGUGCUCAGGUAAAGAAAAUCGGCCAGAACCCAGCCUGCCUUUGUGCUGUUAUGCUUUCUAACACAGCUAAGAGUUCGGGAGUCAAGCCAGAAAUUGCAGUCACCAUUCCCAAACGUUGCAACAUUGCUGAUCGUCCUGUGGGUUACAAGUGUGGAGCUUAUACAUUGCCUUGAAAGAGCAACAUCAGUCAUGGUGCUCUGUAAUAUACUUGCUUCUAUGAAUGCGCUGGAGUCUGCAUCGUUGUAGCUAGUUCUUUCUAGCUAACAAAUACAAUGUGACAUCCAGGAAUCUGAUAAUAAAUAAACUUUAAUGUUUAAUUUCCUUUUUGAGCUCUUGUUUUCC